GACGAACGCUGGCGGCGUGCCUAAUACAUGCAAGUUGAGCGCUGAAGGUUGGUACUUGUACCUACUGGAUGAGCAGCGAACGGGUGAGUAACGCGUGGGGAAUCUGCCUUUGAGCGGGGGACAACAUUUGGAAACGAAUGCUAAUACCGCAUAAAACCUUUAAAAACAAGUUUUAAGUUUGAAAGAUGCAAUUGCAUCACUUAAAGAUGAUCCCGCGUUGUAUUAGCUAGUUGGUGAGGUAAAGGCUCACCAAGGCGAUGAUACAUAGCCGACCUGAGAGGGUAGUCGGCCACAGUGGGACUGAGAAACAGCCCGAACUCCGACGGGAGGCAGCAGUAGGGAAUCUUCGGCAAUUGACGAGAGGCUAACCGAGCGACGCCGGGUUAGUGAAGAAGGUUUUCGGAUCGUAAAACUCGGUUGGUGGAGAAGAACGUUGGUGAGAGUGGAAAGCUCAUCAAGUGACGGUAACUACGCAGAGAGGGACGGCUAACUACGUG
rnacentral:rRNA from 1 species